UACAGAGGGUGCAAGCGUUGUUCGGAAUUACUGGGCGUAAAGGGCGCGUAGGCGGCUUACCAAGUCAGACGUGAAAGCCUGGGGCUCAACCCCAGAAGUGCGUUUGAAACUGGUAGGCUAGAGUGCAUUAGAGAAUGGCGGAAUUCCCAGUGGAGAGGUGAAAUUCGUAGAUAUUGGGAGGAACACCAGUGGCGAAGGCGACUACCUGGCCUGUUUCUUGACGCUGAGGCGCGAAAGCUAGGGGAGCAAACGGG
rnacentral:rRNA from 1 species